GGACCUGAUGCAGCCAUGCCGCGUGUGUGAAGAAGGCCUUCGGGUUGUAAAGCACUUUCAGUUGUGAGGAAAGGUUGGUAGUUAAUACCUGCCAGCUGUGACGUUAACAACAGAAGAAGCACCGGCUAACUCCGUGCCAGCAGCCGCGGUAAU
rnacentral:rRNA from 1 species